UGGGGAAUAUUGGACAAUGGGGGAAACCCUGAUCCAGCAAUGCCGCGUGUGUGAAGAAGGCCUGCGGGUUGUAAAGCACUUUUGGUGGGGAAGAGCGUACUUUUGGUUAAUACCCAAGAGUGGUGACGGUACCCAAAGAAGAAGCACCGGCUAACUCUGUGCCAGCAGCCGCGGUAAUACAGAGGGUGCAAGCGUUAAUCGGAAUUACUGGGCGUAAAGCGCACGUAGGUGGUUAUCUAAGUCGGAUGUGAAAUCCCCGGGCUUAACCUGGGAAUGGCAUACGAUACUGGAUGACUAGAGUCUGGUAGAGGGUGGUGGAAUUCCAGGUGUAGCGGUGAAAUGCGUAGAUAUCUGGAGGAACAUCAGUGGCGAAGGCGGCCACCUGGACUGAGACUGACACUGAGGUGCGAAAGCGUGGGUAGCAAACAGGAUUAGAUACCCUGGUAGUCCACGCCGUAAACGAUGAGAACUAGACGUUGGGCGGGUUAAACCGUUCAGUGUCGCAG
rnacentral:rRNA from 1 species